GACCCCUGAUUUAAGCAACAGUAAUAGUGGUGCUUCCCUAAGCAAUCUAAUUGUAUAAACUACUAAUAAUCUGAAAUAAUAUAAUUUCACCUGUCUAUCUACAUGAGCAACAAAAAAGAAGUCAACGUCUACAUUGCAAGCGUGCAACUUUGCAGCACAGAGUUCACUGGGUGAAUAUCUUGAAGUGGAGAUGAAAGCUGUUAUUUGCUCUACCUCUGCUUACCACCACCUAACUGGGAGCAAACAUGACAAAAGAUCAUCUCCAUGAUCUCCUCACAUCUCCCCACCCUGAGUUUGAGAAGCUUCCUAUUUCCUCAGGUCGAAUACAUGCACAUGCAGCAGAACUGCAAAUUCUCGUUGCAAAAUCAAAUCAGAGCCAUUUCCUGGUCCUUCACAAAGUCCGCAAAACCCAAGCCACAUGAUGUGCCGUCUUCCCUGAGUGAAUUGAAGGAAAAUAAAUAUUCCUAUAAUUACAGAAGAGAAAAAGACGUGGGCAGAUGUCUAACUUGACAAACCCCAGAUGGAUAUCUCCGUCAGAGUUGAGUAUGCCUCCCAACCGUUUGCCUGCAAGGAGCUCUGCUGCUCUGGAGCAUCAUGGGCACUUUGUGUAUGUUGAGAUGCUAUUUUGGGGCACGUUCUAGAAAAAGAGGCGACUUCAUGUAAUUUGGUAAAAUAAAUAUUUGCCUCGGCACUUGGCAGCUGUAUCUCUGUUGGGUCUUUUCCCAUUUAAAACUGCUCUGAGAAAACGGCAUUGUACAUUUGGA